rnacentral:rRNA from 1 species
GUGGGGAAUCUUAGACAAUGGGCGCAAGCCUGAUCUAGCCAUGCCGCGUGAGCGAUGAAGGCCUUAGGGUUGUAAAGCUCUUUCAGGGGGGAAGAUAAUGACGGUACCCCCAGAAGAAGCCCCGGCUAACUCCGUGCCAGCAGCCGCGGUAAUACGGAGGGGGCUAGCGUUGUUCGGAAUUACUGGGCGUAAAGCGCACGUAGGCGGAACAGAAAGUCAGAGGUGAAAUCCCAGGGCUCAACCUUGGAACUGCCUUUGAAACUCCUGUUCUUGAGGUCGAGAGAGGUGAGUGGAAGUCCGAGUGUAGAGGUGAAAUUCGUAGAUAUUCGGAGGAACACCAGUGGCGAAGGCGGCUCACUGGCUCGAUACUGACGCUGAGGUGCGAAAGCGUGGGGAGCAAACAGGAUUAGAAACCCGUGUAGUCC